GUUAGAUAAUUACUAGCACAUCAUAUACAUGUUUCCAGGAAAAUGUACACAAUAUGUACGAGGUAUGAGUGAAACCGUUCCAUUCAACAGAUUGCAGUGAUAAAAUUCUGGUGUGAGUGCUAAUGAGACAGUAUCAGAUGAAGAAAAGCAGGAAAACCAUGGUGUCUGCCACCAAGGAACUGACAUGAAGGUGAGGUGACAAAAUACACAGAGUAGAUAAAAACAGAAGUGCUGUAAGACUAAAGG